UAGUCAGCCACUCUCUGAGGAUGAGAUAUGCGAUCAGGUGUUGGGUAGAUGACCAGGCUACUCAAAAGGCCUUGGUUGGGGACCCAAGCCGAAGACCCGCAGAACGGCAAGUGCAAGCAGUUCGUCGACGUCUUGUUCGCAGUCUACACAAAAAGAGAUUGAAUUACAAGCUAAACUUCAUGAAGCUUUGGAACGGAUUGAAGUACAAGAUAGAAAUCACCAAGCAUUAGCUUCACAAGUGGAAGCUAUGAAAAAGAUGAUUGAAGACCUAACUCGUGCACAACAGGGACCACCACAUGAUCCCUAGCUCUGCGGACCGAAAGUGUAGAAUGACGCGCAUACGCACCUCGUUGGGAGAUUGGGUCUUAUGUUUAUGUUUUUUCUAUAUUGAGAACUAUAUUUUCUUGUAGUCAACUUAUUCGUAUUAUUAAUUUUAAUUCUAUUUUUUUAA